rnacentral:misc_RNA from 1 species
GCAGCACGCACGAAGAGCGCCAGCAAGAGCGCGCGCGUAGGGAACAGAGAGAGCGCGAGCUCUACCAGCGCCACCUCGCCAUCAGACAAGCCAUGGACACGGCUCUGCGAACCGGCAAGCCCCAGCUCAUCGGCCGCGACAAGGACGGCCAAGACGUCUGGCUCGAGCCGCCGCAAUAUAAUGGUUCGUCCAGAUACCCUGGAGGAU